CCUCAUCAAGUGGUUGUGAUAUG
rnacentral:piRNA from 1 species